rnacentral:rRNA from 1 species
UACGGAGGAUGCAAGCGUUAUCCGGAAUGAUUGGGCGUAAAGCGUCCGCAGGUGGCUGUGUAAGUCUGCUGUCAAAGAGCGAAGCUCAACUUCGUAAAGGCAGUGGAAACUACACGGCUAGAGUGCGUUCGGGGCAGAGGGAAUUCCUGGUGUAGCGGUGAAAUGCGUAGAGAUCAGGAAGAACACCGGUGGCGAAGGCGCUCUGCUAGGCCGCAACUGACACUGAGACACGAAAGCCAGGGGAGCAAACGGG